UGAAAUAAAGGGGAAUAAGAAUUGAAGUGUUGAAUCAACCCCUAAUUCCUCCAUCUUACACCAUCGCUGCAACCUUUUGACUAACGCUCACCUUCCUCUCUGGUUACAAACCAAUGGAGAAACUAUCUCCCACCGCUACUCUUUCUCUUCUCUAAGAAUGAUCGACCUCUCCCCUUCCAUUCAUCUUCUCUUUUCCAACAAGAAAAGUUUAUGCUUGAAGAAGUUGAUCCUUGAAGAACGGACAACAAAAUUGAAAGUGUAUCUUAGCAACAUUAUUCUUUUAGCAUGAAUUAAUGUAUUUGUUAGAUUUUGAUGUUUUUUCUGAUUUAAAAGUUUUUUAGUUUUAUUAUUUAACAAUAAAUGUAAUUCUUAGCAAUUGUUACAUGUAUUCUAUAAGAAUUAAUGUAAUUUUUGUUUUAAUUCUUCAAUUGAUGGUUCAAUAA